AAAUGCUCAGGUAGUAUAUUCAUUACUUUGGU
rnacentral:tRNA from 1 species